GCCCUUAUAGCUCAGUGGUAGAGCGCAUCACUCGUAAAUUGCUUACGUAAGCGAUUUGAAAUGAUGAGGUCCAUUGUUCAAUCCAGUGUGGGGGCA
rnacentral:tRNA from 1 species